GUAGGGACCAAGCGUUGUCCGGAAUUAUUGGGCGUAAAGAGCUCGUAGGCGGUUCGGUAAGUCGGGUGUGAAAAUCCAGGGCUCAACCCUGGGACGCCACCCGAUACUGCUGUGACUAGAGUCCGGUAGAGGAGCGUGGAAUUUCUGGUGUAGCGGUGAAAUGCGCAGAUAUCAGAAGGAACACCAGCGGCGAAGGCGGCGCUCUGGGCCGGUACUGACGCUGAGGAGCGAAAGCGUGGGGAGCAAACAGGGAUUAGAUACCCUGGUAGUCCACGCCGUAAACGUUGGGCACUAGGUAUGGGGUCUUAUCAACGGAUUCCGUGCCCGUAGCUAACGCAUUAAGUGCCCCGCCUGGGGGAGUACGGCCGCAAGGCUA
rnacentral:rRNA from 1 species